AAGUCGUAACAAGGUUUCCGUAGGUGAACCUGCGGAAGGAUCAUUAAAGAGUCGGCCCUCCCUUCGGGGAGAGGUCCACGGGUGAGGCCCGGGAUUAACCCCCCGGUCCCCGGGUCCCGUCCUCGUCAGCCCAUUGCCUUUGUCCUUAACCAAUUUUCCCCAAUUCCGGUUUGCUUUUGGGCGGGGCCUUGACCGGUCCCACGACCGGCCGCGCCAGCCGGGGAUGCGUCCCCUGCCGGCGAGCGCCCGCCAGAGACCCUUACCAUUCUGAUUUUUACCAUGUGGUCUGAGCAAAAAACAUAAUAAUCAAAA
rnacentral:misc_RNA from 1 species